UACGUAGGGUGCAAGCGUUAAUCGGAAUUACUGGGCGUAAAGCGUGCGCAGGCGGUGAUGCAAGUCAGAUGUGAAAUCCCCGGGCUCAACCUGGGAACUGCAUUUGUGACUGCAUCGCUGGAGUGCGGCAGAGGGGGAUGGAAUUCCGCGUGUAGCAGUGAAAUGCGUAGAUAUGCGGAGGAACACCGAUGGCGAAGGCAAUCCCCUGGGCCUGCACUGACGCUCAUGCACGAAAGCGUGGGGAGCAAACAGG
rnacentral:rRNA from 1 species